rnacentral:rRNA from 1 species
CCUACGGGAGACAGCAGUGAGGAAUAUUGGUCAAUGGACGAGAGUCUGAACCAGCCAAGUAGCGUGAAGGAUGACUGCCCUAUGGGUUGUAAACUUCUUUUAUAUGGGAAUAAAACGUUCCACGUGUGGGAUUUUGUAUGUACCAUAUGAAUAAGGAUCGGCUAACUCCGUGCCAGCAGCCGCGGUAAUACGGAGGAUCCGAGCGUUAUCCGGAUUUAUUGGGUUAAAAGGGAGCGUAGGUGGAUUGUUAAGUCAGUUGUGAAAGUUUGCGGCUCAACCGUAAAAUUGCAGUUGAAACUGGCAGUCUUGAGUACAGUAGAGGUGGGCGGAAUUCGUGGUGUAGCGGUGAAAUGCUUAGAUAUCACGAAGAACUCCGAUUGCGAAGGCAGUUCACUGGACUGCAACUGACACUGAGGCUCGAAAGUGUGGGUAUCAAACAGGAUUAGAUACCCUAGUAGUC